GACGAACGCUGGCGGCGUGCUUAACACAUGCAAGUCGAACGGUGAACCUGCUUCGGUGGGGGGUCAGUGGCGAACGGGUGAGUAACACGUGUGCAACCUGCCCUCAGCUCUGGGAUAAAUCCAAGAAAAUGGGGCCAAUUCUGGCUAUGACCGCUGACCGCAUGGUCUGGGGGCGGAAGGAUUUAUGGGAUGGGGAUGGGCCCGGGGCCUAUCGCCAUGUUGGUGGGUUAGUGGCCUACCAAGGCGCCGACCGUUAGCCGGCCGUGGAGGGGGACCGGCCACCCGGGGCCUAAGACACGGACCAGACGCCAACGGGAGGCAGCAGGGGGGAAUCUGGCGCAGUGGGGGAGAGCCUGACGCAGCGACGCCGGGUGGGGGAUGAAGGCCUUCGGGUUGUAAACCUCUUUCAGCAGGGACGAAGCGAAAGUGACGGUACCUGCAGAAGAAGCACCGGCUAACUACGUG
rnacentral:rRNA from 1 species